rnacentral:rRNA from 1 species
UACGUAGGGGGCAAGCGUUGUCCGGAUUUAUUGGGCGUAAAGAGCGUGUAGGCGGCCAGAUAGGUCUGCUGUGAAAACUCGAGGCUUAACCUCGAGAUGUCGGCGGAAACCAUCUGGCUAGAGUCCGGAAGAGGAGAGUGGAAUUCCUGGUGUAGCGGUGAAAUGCGCAGAUAUCAGGAAGAACACCCGUGGCGAAGGCGGCUCUCUGGGACGGUACUGACGCUGAGGUGCGAAAGCGUGGGGAGCAAACAGG